AUGCCUAAGUUGGUACAUCAUAUCUGCUAUUCCUGUUGUUCUUUAUCUCAGAGAUCCACUCAAAGCAAUUCCAUGUAUCUUUCCUUAGCCUCGAUAGGAUUUGUGUUAGAGUUAAACUAAUGUUUAUCUGAUCAUCUCAAAGAACUGGUGAAUAAGCUUCAGACGGCUAGUUAUGCCAGUCUGAUUAGGUUGUGUUUUAAUUGGAGCUGUGUGUGUGUGUGUGUGUGUGUGUGUG
rnacentral:misc_RNA from 1 species